rnacentral:tRNA from 1 species
UGUGUAAUGGUAGCACACCGGACUCUGACUCCGUUUGUGAGGGUUCGAAUCCUUCA